rnacentral:rRNA from 1 species
UACAGAGGCCUCAAGCGUUGUUCGGAUUCAUUGGGCGUAAAGGGUGCGCAGGCGGCGCGGUAAGUCGGGUGUGAAAUCUCGGAGCUUAACUCCGAAACUGCAUUCGAUACUGCCGUGCUUGAGGACUGGAGAGGAGACUGGAAUUUACGGUGUAGCGGUGAAAUGCGUAGAUAUCGUAAGGAAGACCAGUGGCGAAGGCGGGUCUCUGGACAGUUCCUGACGCUGAGGCACGAAGGCCAGGGGAGCAAACGGG